GCCAGCGUGGCGUAGUGGUUUGAGCGUUGCACUAUGACUUUGGAGACCAGGGUUUGAUUUCCAGCUCGGUCA